CAUGGGGAAGCUGUUAUGUGCUAGUAUGCUGGGGUAGGCUUGACAACUCAAAAUUUUCUAUUUGUACUUACGAAGCAGCAGUAUUUGACAGAAAAGAAUAAUACUUUGAUGCUCUUCUCACGCCUACAAGCGAGGGCGGCGUGAUUAACAACACAGCGUAAUGCGCAACGGUGAACGCCAACGAACUGCGUGCCGCCACCAACCCCUGGACGAAGCAUUUUGGACUGAAGCUGUCUUGAUAUCUACAAUACAUUGGACACUACAUGCAGGAUUAUGAAUGGAUACCUGAACACUGCUUGAAGGAGCAAGCUCUACAGCAUCACUUAUGCUCCUUUCCAUGGGUUGGCAAGAGGAACCGUGGCACGCAACUCUACAGGCACCUGUGCUCUUCACUACCUUCGGAGGAGAGAUGCAUUGAAUGCUCCCUAUCAUGGACUGCCAUCUCAACAGUACCAUGGCUUUUUGUGUGGAUUCCUUCCCUUUUGAAGGCCACCACUGUUUGCACAGCAUCACAGCCUGCCUGCCUUGAUCUUGUGGAAGAAGAAAAUACAAAAUGCCUAUUUUUUGAAAUGCAUGCAUGGCUCCAUGCAACACCACCUGUCGUCGGGGUGUUAAGGUUUUUUGCAGAGAAAAUGUAAUGACGCCUUAUGUGUGCCCUGGUGGCAAAGUGUUUGUCUCUUUGCCUGUGUAAAAAUUUCACACUUAUGGAUACUGUUAAGGGUUCCUGUA